rnacentral:rRNA from 1 species
AUUGAACGCUGGCGGAAUGCUUUACACAUGCAAGUCGAACGGCAGCACGGGGGCAACCCUGGUGGCGAGUGGCGAACGGGUGAGUAAUACAUCGGAACGUGCCCAGUCGUGGGGGAUAACGUAGCGAAAGUUACGCUAAUACCGCAUACGAUCUACGGAUGAAAGCGGGGGACCGUAAGGCCUCGCGCGAUUGGAGCGGCCGAUGUCAGAUUAGGUAGUUGGUGAGGUAAAGGCUCACCAAGCCGACGAUCUGUAGCUGGUCUGAGAGGACGACCAGCCACACUGGGACUGAGACACGGCCCAGACUCCUACGGGAGGCUGCAGUGGGGAAUUUUGGACAAUGGGCGCAAGCCUGAUCCAGCCGUUCCGCGUGCAGGACGAAGGCCUUCGGGUUGUAAACUGCUUUUGUACGGAACGAAAAGGCUCUGGUUUAUACCUGGGGCUCAUGACGGUACCGUAAGAAUAAGCACCGGCUAACUACGUGCCAGCCGCCGCGGUAA